rnacentral:rRNA from 1 species
GAUUAACGCUGGCGGCGUGCUUAACACAUGCAAGUCGAACGGUAAGGCCCUUCGGGGUACACGAGUGGCGAACGGGUGAGUAACACGUGGGUGAUCUGCCCUGCACUUCGGGAUAAGCCUGGGAAACUGGGUCUAAUACCGGAUAGGACCACUGCCUGCAUGGGCGGUGGUGGAAAGCUUUUGCGGUGUGGGAUGGGCCCGCGGCCUAUCAGCUUGUUGGUGGGGGUAUGGCCUACCAAGGCGACGACGGGUCGCCGGCCUGGGAGGGUGAGCGGCCACACGGGGACUGAGAUACGGCCCAGACUCCUACGGGAGGCAGCAGUGGGGAAUAUUGCACAAUGGGCGCAACCCUGAUGCAGCGACGCGGGGUGAGGGAUGACGGCCUUCGGGUUGAAAACCUCUUUCAGCCCCGACGAAGCGAAAGUGACGGUAGGUGCAGAAGAAGGACCGGCCAACUACGUGCCAGCCGCCGCGGUAA